GAUGAAGAACCGCAGCGAAAUGCGAUAAGUAAUGUGAAUUGCAGAAUUCAGUGAAUCAUCGAAUCUUUGAACGCACCUUGCGCUCCUGGACUUGUUUCAGGAGCAUGCCUGUUUGAGUGUCAUGAAAUCAUCAACCGCGUUGCUUUUUUUGUAGCGUGGCUUGGACUUGGGGACUGCUGGCUUCUUUGAAGUCGGCUUCCCUCGAAUGUAUUAGUCGGGUGCCUCGCUCGAGACGUGUGAUAAUUAUCAUUCACGGAUCGUCGAGGAGCUUGUCCUGGCUUCUAACCGCAUCUCUGAUGCAAUUCUGACACAUCUGACCUCAAAUCAGGUAGGACUACCCGCUGAACUUAAGCAUAUCAAUAAGCGGAGGA
rnacentral:misc_RNA from 1 species